UAUGUCCAUUGCAGUUGCAUAC
rnacentral:miRNA from 1 species